CGCGUAGGCGGCCUUCUAAGUCAGACGUGAAAUCCCCCGGCUUAACCUGGGAACUGCGUCUGAUACUGGGAGGCUAGAGUGCGGGAGAGGGAUGCGGAAUUCCAGGUGUAGCGGUGAAAUGCGUAGAUAUCUGGAGGAACACCGGUGGCGAAGGCGGCAUCCUGGACCGACACUGACGCUGAGGCGCGAAAGCUAGGUAGCAAACG
rnacentral:rRNA from 1 species